CAUACUAAAUUACUGUUUUUUUUUGCGUGUCUGUAAAUAAAUAUCUACCAGAAAUCUUGCUUCGAUUAUUAACUAGUGGACAAUUUUGUCUAGUUGAAGAAUCUCUUUAUUUUAAAUUUGUAAGGCAAUUUUUUUUAAUAAUUUAGAAAAACCAAUAAUUACAAGUGCUUUUGCAGUUAUUUUUGACUUGGCUUUUUUGUUGUAAUCUGUUAAGAGAUAAUCGUAGG